GCCGAGGUAGCCAAGCCCGGAUUAAGGCGCCGGUCUUGAAAACCAGCUUCUUCUGAAGCAGAAAACAAGCUAACCGGUGUGUUCGCACUCAUGAGUUCAAAUCUCAUCCUCGGCG
rnacentral:tRNA from 1 species